AACAAACGCUGGCGGCGUGCCUAAUACAUGCAAGUCGAACGGGGAAAGCUUUCGGGUGAGUACUAGUGGCGCACGGGUGAGUAAUGCGUGGAUAAUCUGCCUUGAAGAGGGGGAUAACCAGUCGAAAGAUUGGCUAAUACCGCAUAAGACCACAGGAACUGAGGUUCUAGAGGUCAAAGGUUUUUCGCUUCAAGAUGAGUCCGCGUAAGAUUAGCUAGUUGGUGAGGUAACGGCUCACCAAGGCGACGAUCUUUAACUGGUCUGAGAGGAUGAUCAGUCACACUGGAACUGAGACACGGUCCAGACUCCUACGGGAGGCAGCAGUAGGGAAUAUUGCACAAUGGAGGAAACUCUGAUGCAGCGACGCCGCGUGAGUGAUGAUGGCCUUCGGGUCGUAAAGCUCUGUCGCAGGGGAAUAACACAAUGAAUGUACCCUGUAAGAAAGGAUCGGCUAACUUCGUGCCAGCCGCCGCAGUAAAAC
rnacentral:rRNA from 1 species